ACGGCUAACUACGUGCCAGCAGCCGCGGUAAUACGUAGGUCCCGAGCGUUGUCCGGAUUUAUUGGGCGUAAAGGGAGCGCAGGCGGUUUCUUAAGUCUGAUGUGAAAGGCAGUGGCUUAACCAUUGUACUGCAUUGGAAACUGGGAGGCUUGAGUGCAGUAGAGGUGAGUGGAAUUCCUUGUGUAGCGGUGAAAUGCGUAGAUAUAAGGAAGAACACCGGAGGCGAAGGCGGCUCACUGGGCUGUAACUGACGCUGAGGCUCGAAAGCGUGGGUAGCAAACAGGAUUAGAUACCCUGGUAGUCCACGCCGUAAACGAUGAGUGCUAGAUGUUGGGAGGCAUACGCUUUUCAGUAUCGCAGCUAACGCGAUAAGCACUCCGCCUGGGGAGUACGACCGCAAGGUUGAAACUCAAAGGAAUUGACGGGGGCCCGCACAAGCGGUGGAGCAUGUGGUUUAAUUCGAUGCAACGCGAAGAACCUUACCAGGGCUUGACAUCCCUCUGACCGCUCUAGAGAUAGAGCUUCCCUUCGGGGCAGAGGUGACAGGUGCUGCAUGGUUGUCGUCAGCUCGUGCCGUGAGAUGUUGGGUUAAGUCCCGCAACGAGCGCAACCCUUAUGUUUAGUUGCCAUCAUUAAGUUGGGCACUCUAGACAGACUGCCGCAGAUAAUGCGGAGGAAGGUGGGGAUGACGUCAAAUCAUCAUGGCCCUUAUGACCUGGGCUACACACGUGCUACAAUGGC
rnacentral:rRNA from 1 species